AUUGAACGCUGGCGGCAGGCCUAACACAUGCAAGUCGAGCGGAGCGGCGGACGGGUGAGUAAUGCCUAGGAAUCUGCCUGGUAGUGGGGGAUAACGUCCGGAAACGGGCGCUAAUACCGCAUACUAUCAGAUGAGCCUAGGUCGGAUUAGCUAGUUGGGGGGGUAAAGGCCUACCAAGGCGACGAUCCCUAGCUGGUCUGAGAGGAUGACCAGCCACACUGGAACUGAGACACGGUCCAGACUCCUACGGGAGGCAGCAGUGGGGAUAAUUACACAAUAGGCGAAAGCCUGAUGCAGCCAGGCCGCGUGUAUGGAGAAGGCCUUCGGAUUGUAAAGUACUUUAAGCGGGGAGGCGUUACCCGCAGAAGAAGCACCGGCUAACUCCGUGCCAGCAGCCGCGGGAAUAC
rnacentral:rRNA from 1 species